rnacentral:rRNA from 1 species
UUGUCUCUCUUGAGUGGAUCCUGAGUACGACGGAGCACGUGAAAUUCCGUCGGAAUCUGGGAGGACCAUCUCCUAAGGCUAAAUACUCUCUAGUGACCGAUAGUGAACCAGUACCGUGAGGGAAAGGUGAAAAGCACCCCGGAAGGGGAGUGAAAUAGAACCUGAAACCGUGUGCUUACAAGUAGUCAGAGCCCGUUAAUGGGUGAUGGCGUGCCUUUUGUAGAAUGAACCGGCGAGUUACGAUUUGAUGCAAGGUUAAGCAGUAAAUGUGGAGCCGUAGCGAAAGCGAGUCUGAAUAGGGCGUUUAGUAUUUGGUCGUAGACCCGAAACCAGGUGAUCUACCCUUGGUCAGGUUGAAGUUCAGGUAACACUGAAUGGAGGACCGAACCGACUUACGUUGAAAAGUGAGCGGAUGAACUGAGGGUAGCGGAGAAAUUCCAAUCGAACCUGGAGAUAGCUGGUUCUCUCCGAAAUAGCUUUAGGGCUAGCCUCAAGUGAUGAUUAUUGGAGGUAGAGCACUGUUUGGACGAGGGGCCCCUCUCGGGUUACCGAAUUCAGACAAACUCCGAAUGCCAAUUAAUUUAACUUGGGAGUCAGAACAUGGGUGAUAAGGUCCGUGUUCGAAAGGGAAACAGCCCAGACCACCAGCUAAGGUCCCAAAAUAUAUGUUAAGUGGAAAAGGAUGUGGCGUUGCCCAGACAACUAGGAUGUUGGCUUAGAAGCAGCCAUCAUUUAAAGAGUGCGUAAUAGCUCACUAGUCGAGUGACACUGCGCCGA